rnacentral:rRNA from 1 species
CGGCAACAGCUCAAAUUUGAAAUCUGGCUCUCGGGCCCGAGUUGUAAUUUGUAGAGGAUGCUUUUGGUGAGGUGCCUUCCGAGUUCCCUGGAACGGGACGCCAUAGAGGGUGAGAAUCCCGUAUGUGACUAGAUGCCUAAGUUUAUGUGAAGCUCCUUCGAC